GCCAUCAUGGCAUAGUAGUUUGAGCAUUGGACUAUGACUCUGGAGAUGAGGGUUCAAAUCCCUGUUUGGACA